ensembl:snoRNA
AUCCUUUUGUAGUUCAUGAGAGUGCUGAUUGGGUGUUCAUGAACACGUGUGAGAUGUGCCACUUUUAAACUUCGUUAGGAUGUUGACACAUUGCCUUCUGAUG